CCCCUUCCUUAUAAACCUCAUCUUCUUUACUUUUCAGGUUUAGGGUUAGGGUUUUGACCAGACGGAGACUCCGAAAAUGGAGCCUGAGAGAAAGCUUUCGGCGGAGUCGCGGCCCAUACUCCAAGAAGGUAUAGGAUUGGUUCUGUUUCGGUGGUCGGCGCUCCAAUUGGCCGUCGAAAACGAGUGGGGCUCGUGCCGCAAAGCGGAGCAACUCGUCGCCGAUAUCUUCUCCUGGUUCAAUCACUCCACAGAUUUCUAUGGUUCUAGCCAAGCAGAAUGAUUAACGAAUGAUGUGAAUAUUUUUACCGGUCGUUAUUGUAACGAAAUCUCACAAGUACGUGUUCAUUCUCCCAGGAGCCUUUUUACGUAGAAGAUUUGGAAGAUACGCCGAAUAAAGCUACGCUUUCUCUCAACACUAUGACAGAGGAUGGCAGCAUUGAGGAGGUAUUCCUUUUAUACUUAACUUCGUCUUUUCGGAGAACACUUGAUAGUAUCUUGAUGGAGUAUGAAAUGGAGAAGAUUUAAUAUGUUAUGCUUCUGGUGGGAAACUCAAAAGUACUUUGCUUCCUCUAUGGAUUGUGUUGGCAACUUGGCAUGGCUUUGAAUGGACCACCAUUGCAAAGGUUUGUAAUGUGUGUGUUCCAGACCACCCGCUUUUAAAACCGAAACCUUUCAGUAUCAACUACAUUUAAGUUGGCAGCUAAGAAUCAGCUGCAUCUCCAGCCAUUGGAGAUAGAUGGACAAUUUACGGUUCAUUAUUGUUUCUAUAAAGUGGAUGGUACUAGGGAGUAGGGAAGCAACCUUUACUUUUAGUAAUGGUUUCUAUCUUUAUGGUGUUUGCGGUUUCGUUUUCUUUGGAUUUAAACAGGUAGCUGAAAAGCUAAUGAUUAUGUAUGAAGAAUGUUUAGAUUGUAAUUUCAAGUCGAUUGAAAGCCUAAAGGAAGCCAAUCAACGAAAAGUUGCUGUUCCACAUGUUAGAGAGGUUGCAAAUGAUGACGAUGACGAUAGUGAUUAAGAUAAUGAUGAUGGAGAUCAUAGCAUGGGAAAUGAUGAUUCCUCGAACAUGAUGGUAGACAUACCAGAGGCUCAUUCAAACUUAAAUCCUGUCAACGUAUCAGGCAAUGAGCCAACGCCCAAGCCGGCGGCCGAAGCAGAAGAUGGAUGGGAGGUAGUCGGAGCUAGAAAACAUAGGGGUAAAAGGAAUUAGCUUGAGCCCCCUCCCCCCCUCCCUUCUGCUCAACAUUUUUUUCGUUUUACUCUCUGAAGUAGAGUGAAUAUGUGUAUAAGUUGGAUCAAAUACCAUUAAUCUACGGAUAAUCACUUCAUUUAUACGAUAUACGGUCCCAACUUUUGUACA